UAAUUUGAGAGUUUGAUCCUGGCUCAGGACGAACGCUGGCGGCGUGCCUAAUACAUGCAAGUCGAACGAACUCUGGUAUUGAUUGGUGCUUGCAUCAUGAUUUACAUUUGAGUGAGUGGCGAACUGGUGAGUAACACGUGGGAAACCUGCCCAGAAGCGGGGGAUAACACCUGGAAACAGAUGCUAAUACCGCAUAACAACUUGGACCGCAUGGUCCGAGUUUGAAAGAUGGCUUCGGCUAUCACUUCUGGAUGGUCCCGCGGCGUAUUAGCUAGAUGGUGAGGUAACGGCUCACCAUGGCAAUGAUACGUAGCCGACCUGAGAGGGUAAUCGGCCACAUUGGGACUGAGACACGGCCCAAACUCCUACGGGAGGCAGCAGUAGGGAAUCUUCCACAAUGGACGAAAGUCUGAUGGAGCAACGCCGCGUGAGUGAAGAAGGGUUUCGGCUCGUAAAACUCUGUUGUUAAAGAAGAACAUAUCUGAGAGUAACUGUUCAGGUAUUGACGGUAUUUAACCAGAAAGCCACGGCUAACUACGUGCCAGCAGCCGCGGUAAUACGUAGGUGGCAAGCGUUGUCCGGAUUUAUUGGGCGUAAAGCGAGCGCAGGCGGUUUUUUAAGUCUGAUGUGAAAGCCUUCGGCUCAACCGAAGAAGUGCAUCGGAAACUGGGAAACUUGAGUGCAGAAGAGGACAGUGGAACUCCAUGUGUAGCGGUGAAAUGCGUAGAUAUAUGGAAGAACACCAGUGGCGAAGGCGGCUGUCUGGUCUGUAACUGACGCUGAGGCUCGAAAGUAUGGGUAGCAAACAGGAUUAGAUACCCUGGUAGUCCAUACCGUAAACGAUGAAUGCUAAGUGUUGGAGGGUUUCCGCCCUUCAGUGCUGCAGCUAACGCAUUAAGCAUUCCGCCUGGGGAGUACGGCCGCAAGGCUGAAACUCAAAGGAAUUGACGGGGGCCCGCACAAGCGGUGGAGCAUGUGGUUUAAUUCGAAGCUACGCGAAGAACCUUACCAGGUCUUGACAUACUAUGCAAAUCUAAGAGAUUAGACGUUCCCUUCGGGGACAUGGAUACAGGUGGUGCAUGGUUGUCGUCAGCUCGUGUCGUGAGAUGUUGGGUUAAGUCCCGCAACGAGCGCAACCCUUAUUAUCAGUUGCCAGCAUUAAGUUGGGCACUCUGGUGAGACUGCCGGUGACAAACCGGAGGAAGGUGGGGAUGACGUCAAAUCAUCAUGCCCCUUAUGACCUGGGCUACACACGUGCUACAAUGGAUGGUACAACGAGUUGCGAACUCGCGAGAGUAAGCUAAUCUCUUAAAGCCAUUCUCAGUUCGGAUUGUAGGCUGCAACUCGCCUACAUGAAGUCGGAAUCGCUAGUAAUCGCGGAUCAGCAUGCCGCGGUGAAUACGUUCCCGGGCCUUGUACACACCGCCCGUCACACCAUGAGAGUUUGUAACACCCAAAGUCGGUGGGGUAACCUUUUAGGAACCAGCCGCCUAAGGUGGGACAGAUGAUUAGGGUGAAGUCGUAACAAGGUAGCCGUAGGAGAACCUGCGGCUGGAUCACCUCCUUU
rnacentral:rRNA from 1 species